CCUACGGGGGGCAGCAGUGAGGAAUAUUGGUCAAUGGCCGCAAGCCUGAACCAGCCAAGUCGCGUGAGGGAUGACUGCCCUACGGAUUGUAAACCUCUUUUGUCAGGGAGUAAAGUGCGCCACGUGUGGCGCUUUGUGUGUACUUUAUGAAAAAGCAUCGGCUAACUCCGUGCCAGCAGCCGCGGUAAUACGGAGGAUCCGAGCGUUAUCCGGAUUUAUUGGGUUUAAAGGGUGCGUAGGGGGGAUGUUAAGUCAGCAGGUAAAUUUUGGGGCUCAACCCCAGAAGUGCAGUUGAUACUGGCGUUCGUGAGUGCAGGAGAGGUAUGCGGAAUGCGUGGUGUAGCGGUGAAAUGCAUAGAUAUCACGAAGAACUCCGAUUGCGAAGGCAGCAUACUGGACUGCAACUGACGUUGAUGCACGAAAGCGUGGGUAUCAAACAGGAUUAGAUACCCUGGUAGUC
rnacentral:rRNA from 1 species